rnacentral:piRNA from 1 species
UGAGUCAUUGGAAGAGGUCCAUAGCCCA